ACAAAAUAGCCUCGAGAACGCAGUAAAACCAACUCCAAAAACGUAAAAAAAAACUCAAACUCAACUGUAAAUCAAUCCAAGAACCAACUCCAAUCAGACCUUAAAUCACCACAAAGAUAGUCGAGGUUGCCGUUUAAAGUUUUACGACGAAGUUUCCGGUUCGGGUUCUAUUGAUGAGGUUUCUCUUUGGAUAGCAGAAGGAUACUCCGUUGUACAAGUUUGCCUUCUCAAUAUUGAACAAAGUUUAUUACCUUUGAGGUUUAUUCUUAUUUUUUAUUUUUCUUUCUUCAAAUUUUGUUAACUUACAUGCCUGUAAGAUUUUAUUAGUUAUUUGCUGAGUUGACAAUUGUCUGUUUAAGAGUUCAAAUGCGCGCUUGAUUAGUUUAAGCAAAGCUCGUGGAAUUUUGUUCAAAUUACUGAAGAUCGUUCUUGGUUUAUAUGCUAAAAAUGGGAAUUCAUGAGAGAUUUGUUAUGCCAUUUUGUUUAUUAUCGUUGUUUAUAAUUAUUAUGGCUUCAAAUUCCUUUGUAUGUUUCGAGUUAUUUUCUAAGUAGAUUAGUUGAAUAAGAUUUCAUUUUAAUUAAUUUUUUAGAAGUUUUUCCUAUAUAUACUAUAAUAGGAACUUAUUAAUUUAUUUUAUCUAGGUUUUGUAGUUUCCAAAAGUAUCUAGAUUUUUUUUAUAAAUUGUAUACAUUACCCCCUUAAAAAGCUCUCAUCCCAUGAUUAAUACCUUCAAUUAAGGGAUUCAAUUAUAUCCAUUCCUUUUUUCACACUUUUCCUCGUUUCAUGCGUCCUAAUUUUUUCUGUAUGCAGAUCGCCUCUUCUCUCUCUUCGAUAGUUGUACGUCUUCAACAAGAAGCUUGUAAUUUUGCUUCAGUUGUUGAAUGAUUUUGGUUGGAACCUUCAAAUGCUUGAUAUAAUGUCUUACUACAUAUUCUAUGUUUCUAUUAUUCUUAUAAUAUUAGGAAAGUGAUACCUAAUCUAACAAAUCCAAUAAUACAGAACUGAUUUUCAUAAUAGAUACCAAAAAGAUACUUUUUCUUUGCAGUAAGAAAUCUAUACACAUGGCAUAGAAUAUCAUGAGAUGACAAAAAAAAUCAGUUGCUAAAAGUUUCUUCAACAAUUCAAAAAUUGCUAAACUCUAGCAAAAUUAUUACUAAUAGGAUAAUGCCUCAUACACAAUCCAAAUGUGAAAUUGGUCACAAACUUACAAUUGCACAUCACCGUAUAUAAUUAUCAUAUAUUUAUGAUAUAAUUUCUGCAACAAUUAUGAUACAAAUAUAAUUAUGAUACAACUGUGAUACAAUUCUAAUCUUCAUCUUCUUCAAGUUUCAAUCACAAUUCUAAACUUAAAUUCUGAUACAAUAUUGUAUUAUAAUUAUAUUUGGUAUUAUUUUAUAUAUUGAUAUAUCAGAUACAAGUCAAAUACAACUUUGAUACAAUUAUCAUACAAUCGUGAUACAAUUUAAAAAUUUUUCUUUUUCGAGUUUCAAUAUGAAAUUUUACCUAAAAAUAACUCUAAACUUAACCAAUCUCCCUCAUAACUGAUAUAUAAACUCCAAGUUAUAUUCUAAAUCGUUUGCAAGAGCACCCAAUCCAAACAAAUCAUAAAUUCGUAAAACCCAAAUGUUGAAUUCAAAGAUUCGAAACUUUUUAAUGGUUGUCAAUGGAGAACUCUUUACUAUUGCAAUUUUAGAGAUAAUGUCGAUGAAUGCAUGUGAAGUGGAUGAGAACAAAUCACAAUUUCGUAAAACUCAAAUGUUAAAUUCAAAGUUUCAAAAUUUUUUAUUGGUUGUCAAUGGAGAACUCUUUGCUACUGCAAUUUUAGAGAUAAUGUCGAUGAAUUUGUGUGAAGAGGAUGAGAUUUGGAUUAAUUUGUAUGGAAGAGAGAAAUAUUUUAAAAUGUUUUUGAAAAUGGGAUGAAAAAGUGAUUUUAGGGACUUUGUAUAACUGAUAUACAUGAGAGGGAGGGAGGGCUGACGUGGGGGAGGGGAGAGGGAAGGGUUGUAUCAGUUACAUCCUAGUUUUAAGGAUGCUCUCUUUAUUAAGGUUUUGUAUAUAAAUAGUAAAUAUAGAUAGAGAAUAUAAUUUUUAAGGAACCUAAAGAAAAGUGGUAAAUAAGUUUCUAUUAUAGCAUAGUUGGGUAAAUUUUCCAUUAAAGAAUGAAGAUUUGUUCAUAUUAAUGGGGCAGUGUUUGAUCUUGCAAAUAGUUGGGUUGUAGAUAUUCAUUUGACUAUACAUACCAUUAGUUAAGCUAAAUGGGCCAAAAUUAGAACACCAAGCCCAUGAUGAAUAAGCUGGCCCAUUUCUUUUAUAAUGAAUAAUGUCGUACAUAUUCAAAAAUAAUUAUAGUACGCCUUUAGGCACGUUUUUGACUCGAUAAAUCAUCGUGACUAUGGGUACGGUUCCCGUGGCAUAGUCAUGAUACGUAACCCCAACUUAAAGUGCAUGUUCGCGUGACUUGAAUCAACUUAAAAAUAAUAAUAAUAAUAAUAAUAAACAUGUCGUAAUUCGUGGGUGCAUUUUACGUGUCGCGGUUUGCGAUGAGUAUAAAACGACAAGUGUACGACAUCGUAACUUGUUCAAAUAAAUUUUAUAAAUAUAUAAAAUGGCCAAAACAUUUGAUAAAAGCGGUAAAAGGGUAAAAACACCCAAUAUGUCUAAAACAUGUAAUAAUCAGACAAAUAAGCCAUGUGUAAUUGUAAAGCGACCGUGCUAAAAUCACCGAAUUUGGGAGUGGCUCAUACCUUCUCCCGGGUUAAUAUAAUUCCUUACCCAGGUCUUCUGUGUUUUGUAGACUGAUACAGAGUCAAUUUUUCCUUGAUUUGGGAUUUAAAAUAAAUGGCGAAUUGGGACGCCGUAAAUAAUUAUUCUAAGUGGCGACUCUAUAAAUUAAAUAAAAUAAUCCCUUUUCAAAUAAUAUCACUUUAAUUGGAAAAACUCUUUUUUCCCGUAAAAAAUGAGGUGUGACAACCACGAUCAUCCCUUCUUGAAUCAUCAUUUCUAUUUCCUUUUUCAAAACCAGACAAUCCUUAGUGUUAUGCCCCUGGAAUUAGAAUAGUAUACGCACCAUACAGCAGGGUCAAAACCUUUUGCAUAUGGAUCAGAAACAUACCCUUGAAGCAGCUCAAUCAUGUCAUAACGUUUCAACCUUUCAAACAAACUUGUGUAGGAUUCUACAAUUGGCGUGAAAUUAUCCCUCUACUUAUGAUCCCUUUCAUACUCCUAUUUCGGACGAGGGUAGUAGGGUGAUUGAAAGUUUUGCUAUCAAGGACGAAGGUCUGUUGAAGCUGGGGCCCAUAUCUGUUGUCGAUUGGAUGGUUUGGCAUAAUACUGAGCAUUGAAUGUUGCAUAUUGUGGAGCAACUGAGUAUCGAGGAUCCGGGGAUGGAUAGUAGUGUUGUGGAGAACCUUACGAAACCUGAUGAGACUGCCCAUAUUGUUGAGAUGCUCCCUUUUGACCUCUUUUCGACCAUGAUACCAUCAUGGCCUCCUCAUCUUUCUUCUUUCGGUUUGCAAGGCAUACCGACCCAUUCUGUAUUGCUUGGGGGUGGCUUUGAGAGUUGCUUGACUUAUAAUUCGGCCAGUCUUGAGGCCAUUUUCGACCAUUUCUCCUAUCUUGAUUGAUUCUGCAAAAGGUCUACCCAUGGCGGACAUCAUGUUUUGAAAGUAAUCAGGCUCAUGAGCCUCCAGAAAAACAGUGAUCAACUUGUGGUUAUCCAUGGGUGGCUUAACUCUAGCGCUUUCUCUCUAUUUAGUGGCAUACUCCCUAAAGCUUUCAGUCGGCUUUUUUUUUUAUAUUAGGCAGGGAAUUGCGAUCUGGCGCAAUAUCAAUGUUGUAAUGAAAUUGUUUGACGAAGGCUUGGACCAUGUCGUCCCAAUCAUGCCAAUGAGAGAUAUCUUGGUCAAUGAAAUAUUCAGAGGCUACUCCCACCAGACUCUCCCCAAAAUAAGCCAUCAGCAAUUCACCUUUUCCUCUUGCGCCCCUCAGCUAGUUGCAGUACCUUUUUAAGUGGGCGAUAGGGUUGUCGUGUCCAUCAUAUUUCUCAAAUUUUGGUGCCUUGAACCCUGGGGGUAAAUAUAUGUGAAGAAACAUGAACAGAUCACUUGAUGAGACACUUUUGUGACUGCAUAGUCCUUGUAUAUUCUUUAUGUUCUGCUCAAGACUUUUUAUUUUCUUGGCCAUCUCAUCUGGCUCUCCCGUCUUGACAUCCUUUUCAUUUUCUACAGGUGACUCGUAGUGUGGAGUCUGAUUGUGUGUAGCCGAGACCUUUAAAGCAAUAUCUGGAGAGUAGUAUUGGUCAUCAUAAGCAUGAGAUGGUGACUCGAUGUUUGGCCUCGUCACAAUAUUUGGUGGGCGGGAUUAUAUACACUGGCGCACCAGACACGACAAGAGAGGCGUUCCUAACAGGUGCGUCUAGAGGUCGCACAUUAGAGGUACCAAGGGCGGAAGGGAAGCUAUAAUUUGGCACAUACCCUGGUGGUAGAAUCUGAAAACUCAUGGGGAGCGGUGGUUGAGUAGCCAGGGAUACGGUGGAAGUUCCCUUUGAGGGACCCUGAGUCGGAGGCUGACUGGAGACCCAAGCCUGAUACACAUGAGACAGUUGCAGAUUCAAUCUUCUUACUUCCUACGACUCUUGCCCAACUGACUGACUCUGGGGGUCGUCACUGACCAACUCGAUUUCAUCAUUGUUAGCCAUCAGUACCUUUCCUUUAGAUCUAGUGAAGUAAUAAUGUGUUGCUAGUUUCACCACAAACCAACCACCUUAAACUUACUAUAUAAGAGACAACAAAAGUAUUAGGGUUAAGCAUUUUAAAGAUAUGAAUCACACGUAAUAUGCCAUGCUCCUAACAUUGUUACCGCCUCUAACAUGCUUUUCGAAGGCUUCAUGUUUCAUUUCGGCUUAUAAGGUUACUGCUUAUUGAUGCUCUUAUUUUCUUCUGCCCUUUUUCGCUUUUCUUUUUACUCGCCUCAUUUUGUAACCCUCAUAUUAGAGUCGUUGAAGAAUAUCUCGAUCGAACCUUUUGGGGGUUGCCUACGUAUCAUGUCGCCGCAUGAAUCAGAUCAUUACGUAAUUCAGGGACAUGACCAUUUGUUUUGGAGUUUUCUUUCUUUCUUUUUUUAUUUACAAAAACAAAGAUUUUUUUUAAAAUUUACAAAAAACAACAUCUUUUUGGUUCAUUUUCGAAUUUUUCUAAAAUAAAAUCUUUUUCAUUGAUUUUCGAUUUUUUUCUUCUUUUUUUUAUACAAGACUCAAAAACAAAAAUUACAUAAAGAUACAACCUAAAAAGAUAAAUAUUUAAACAAGACCGGACUCAACUCAAACAGACUUUUAAAAAUAAAAGAAAAAACAACAAGACUCAAAACACCAAAAGAGUUUUACAGACUCGAUGACAACGAAGGAACGAUCAAAAGGGACUACCAACUAAAAGAAGACUCAGAUCCCUAUAGAAGAAUCCACCAGCAUCAUUGUAGUCAAGGAGCUUAUUCUUGCGGCUGGCCUCCCAAUCAUAGUAUAUGCGCUUCAAGUCUAUGGAAAUAUGACGCGCGAAGUUGGGCGCUACCGUAGCAAAUUGCUCUCGAGUCAAACCCUGACAAGUCAUACACCCUUGGGCGGUAUAAGUAGCCACUUCAUAGGCUUUCCUUCUAACAUGAUCCUGGCUCUGACUUAAGAACUUGAUAUGCAACUCAUGAUUAUUGGCUAUGACUGAUAUAUCCACCUUGCGUUGUAAUGAUAGAUUCAGCUGGUUCUGGACCCUUCCUAGCUCAUUCUUUAGCUGGUUCUUACCCGAUUCUGCAAUCUUGGCCCGAGCCCUAUGAUCAUGGAUGAUAACAUUGCAAUGCAUUUCUUCGUGCAUUGGAAUGGCCCAUAUUCUCUCUUACUGAAGUUGUGCUUGAAGCUCUUGAAUCUCUUGAACCUCAUAUGUUAAUUUGGUCUCAGUGUACUACAAAUCCUUAUUCACAUUGACGAUACUUAUAUCCCUACGUAGCACCCGAAUGAUGGAUUCAUAGCCUCUUGUUAUUUCCUCCUUCGCCUGCCCCACUCUUGUUCUAAUUUCAACCUCUUAUUCUGUCGUGCUCUUCAGAACUGUCACUUGCAUGUAUCCAAAAGCAUAUUGAUCAUAGAACCACUCAAAAUAUGCAGGGUCUAACUCUUCUCAAUCCCGAUCUUCUACCACAUUGUGAAAUUCGAGUACCUUAUUUUCAUCCCAAACCUGUCGAGCAUAAGCCUCAUGAACUGGAUCCUCGGAUAUUACCUCCCACAUGAAUCUUUACAUGUGAUCCAUUAUGGGUACUACCGUUUUCGACCUAAUUGGUGUAGGGCUCUUAUAGGCACAGACGGCUGAAAACCACGAAGACCCAUCAAAAUCAGAAACGAAUGGUAGUAAGACCUAUAUAUGACCUCUUUUGGUGAGAACCAGUGGUAUUUCCAUGUGAUUUCAGAAUCAGUCAACUUAUAAAGAUGCCCUCUCCAUGCUUCAACGUCGUUGGGGAAGCUACUAUCUUUAGUCAAAUCUUUAAACCUAUAUUCAAGCUCAUUGUUGCUCCAAUGGACGCUAAAAUUCACCUAAACGGGAUGACGGAGAAGGUGCUCUAAAAAUCAUAUUUGGAGUAUGAUGUUACAGCCCUCAAAGAAAUCUUCUCCUUCUUGACACCUGGUCAGGGCAUGGUAAAUAUCUAACAAUAUCAUAGGAAUGAUAGUGACGUCCUUUCUACACAAUAAAGUGGUGACUAUGCCAGAUAAUCGAAUAUCAAUAUUUUUGUCAUGCCUCGAGAAAAUCAUUGUCCCUAGAAAUGCCACUAAGAAUGCUCUCCACCCAUGUCUUUGCCAAGCGUUGAAUCUAAUUUUGUUAUCAAGCUUUUUUCAUGAUUUGAGAAUCCACCUAGACACCCAUACCUGUCGUAUAAGAAAUCCAAUUGAACAUGCCAUCUUUCCACACUUGCUAUUUUAUUUUGGAUGUUUGUCAUCUACUCCAAAAUGUACUACUAGUGACUUCCCUUGGGGCCAAGGGUCUCUUCUUCCGAAGCUCAUCGACUAACCUUAUGUAUCCAACUAACUCCUCCAAAGUGGGAGUCAUUUCGAAACCAUUAAAAUAUAAUACAUUGUUAUUAGAAUCCCAGAAAUGCACCAACGCCUCAAUUAAGUCCCUCCUUGGGUUGAUCACCAUAAUAUUCAUUAAGUGACCCAGAUGGUCCUUUAUCUUUUCAUGCUCACAAAUGCUCAUAUUUUUCCAUCAUUGCCUCAACAACCGGGUAUUUAUGCACAAGACAAAUUUGUGGAGACUCAUCAUCUAUUGGCAUUUUGUUAGAUCUUCUUCUCAUUGGGUCUAUAAUGCACCUAAGUGGUAGAACAUGAGGUUAGGACCUAUGCAAGCUUAGAUAACACAAAAUUUCUAAUACCCUAGGAUUUGACUCAUGAAAGUUUAGAAAUGGAAAUGUGGGACUUAAGUAACCAACCCUAACCAUGUUUUGAAGUGAGCGUUUACUGAAAUUGAACACCCUCCUUGGGAGAUGAUACAAUUUUGAAUGAUCAGUCAAUCUUUACCCAAAUAGUAAGACAUGAUUGAUUUGGACGGGGCACUAGGCCAUAGUAGAGUUGCCUAAGUAUCUUGCAUAGGGUCAAUAAUCAAGUGCACAUAGUUUGUACAAGAGACAAAGCUGGACUACAAGACCUUUCUUACGAAAAUGGUCCUUUGGCACUUUCAAAGAAGGUUUUGGUGUAGUCCCGACAAAACAACUGAACACAAGGAUAAAAUGAUAAAAAGUAGGCAAAAAUGUCGAGCUUUGCUAAGCCAAAUGUAUGUGAUGCAAAUAAAGCGAACCUACUAGAAAUAUCCAGCAUGAGGUUUGUUCCUCUCGGUUUAAAUCCUAGUGGAGAAGGUAUCUAGAUUGGCUUACUCGAACGGACAACUCGAGCUGAGGAGGGUUAGCAUACCAGUAGCAAUACUUUCCGGCUUAGCUGGUGGUGCUCCCCGCCUAAAAUAUAUGUGACUAAAAUUAUUUACCGGGUGGCAAGCACCUCGGCUAUCUCAAAGGAAGCAUGAUAUGUCAAGCAAAUGUUCAAUUUUAAUUUCAAGAAGACUCAGAGGGGGUGCGUGAGAUGAUAGUUUAUAUGCACAGUUCAACAAUAUCAAAACGGUAAAAAUCAGACAAGUAGCAUAUUAGGGCCAAAUAAAUCAUGGUAUAUACAAAAAUUAAUAAAGCCAAAUAAAGUCAAUGUACAAGCUCGAAUUCUGGUUAUCCCCACCAGAGUCGCCAAAGCUGUCACACCAUUUUUCUAUCCCCCAAAAGAUAUGUGUGUUAUGGAUAAUUGUAGGUAAAAGAGUUUUUUCAAUUAAAAUGAUAAUUUAAAAUAAGGAUUAUUUUAUUGUUCAGAGUCGCUACUUGGAAUUGAUUUUUAGGUGUUCCAAAUCACCUUUUAUUUGAAUCCCUAGUCAAACGAAGGUUUGACUCUAUUAUUAUUGGUCUGCGAAAAUAAAGUCUGGGUAAGGAGUUCUGAUGUCCGGGGAGAAGGUGUAAGGCAUUCCCCGAGUCCCCUGGUUCUAGCACGAUCGCUUUAUUGGCUUAAGCUUGGCAUGAAUUAAUUUUGGAUAAAAUGUGCAUUAUUUGAUUUUCAUGGUUUACCUAUCCGCUUUUCAUUAUUAAAAUUAUUAAAGAAUAAUUUGAAUAAUAUUAAAUUGUCCUAACUGCACCACGCAAGCGAAUGUACGACCGAGAUGAAUUUUAUUAUUUUUUUCAUAACAGCACUACGCAAGCGAAUCCACAGUCAUGACGAAGGAUUAUUAGCACGUUAUUACUUUUGAAAAACUACAACAUUUGAGGAUAUUAAUUUUGGCAUUCAUUAAAAAGUCAACCAACGUGCUAGCGAUUAUAACAAGGUAUUAAUUAAAUUAAGAAUUAAUUAAAGCUAGUAGAUAUGGUAUGAGAUUGAUGAAUUAAUUGAAUGUCAAACAUCACGCUACGCAAGCGAGUCCGUGAAGUUAAAGUGUGCCUACUAGUUGCAUAGCGUUUAAAAUUAAUUAUAUUAUUAAAUUAGUUAAACAAAAAAAAAAUUAUUUUUGGCCCAGUUUCCAGAAGCAAAUCUACUGUUUGUUUCUGGUCGAUUCUCUUAGGUUCUCGAAACUAGUAGCUAUUUGUUCCCGAAAUUAACUAGAAUCCUUCUAUUUCUCACAAGUUUUGUACUCUAAGAAACACUCACGAAGUUCAGAAUUUUUAGCUUACUAUUCCAUAUGUUCAGCUGAUCUUUUGCCCUCAAAUGGUGUUCUUUUGUUGUAUAAAAAAUGUCUUCUAAGUGUGUUAGAGUGUGAGUAAAAAUGAAGAAAGAGUAGCCCUUAAGUAGGAAGUAAAAAAGCACUUUUUUGGACAGCUUUUUGUUCACUAAAAAUCUGUCCAAAAUGACUGAUAUUUAUUUACCAAAACCUGCCCAAAGGGCUGUCCAAAUAGGAGAAAGGACAAUCCCUUUUCACCAAGUUUAGACACAAAGAAAGUAAUUGAACUAUUGGCAUACUUCAAACAAUGAAAACAAACUAAUGUAUACCCUAAUCUCAUCAUUAACAUAACUACCUUUCAGCUUUUACAAAAUCAGUACCAACCACUUACUAAAAAAUAAAUAACUAGAACCUAACUAACUGAUCGAACUAUUAACCAACAAGGAGAACCAGAACUUCAAGAUUGAAACCAAACAAGAAACAUGUAUUAAGCCAUGAAAUACUUAAAACUAAUCCGCUUAAACCAAAACGAAUAUCAAAAAACAAUAACCUAGAAUCAGAACUUAACGACAUAAAGCAAAGCAAAAAUAUGUCAAUAGUGAUACAAACAAACAUAACCAAUUAAGUUAAAAAUAAAAAAUCAGACAUUAGAUUGAGAACUAACUGAAACAGUCACUGAUAUUCGGCUUAAAAUAUGCAUAUUUUUAUAUAUAUUGCCUCGCACUGUGCUCAUGUCUCAGAGAUUUUGGAUAUAUAAUAUAAUGAUUUGGGCUAAUUUGUGGUAUUUCUAUGCGUAGGAGUCAUUUGUGCGAAUUAGAGCGAAAAUGGGAAGAAAAGAAAAAAGUGCACAUUUGAGGGCCACAGGCAGCAUGGGGCGCUACAUGUGGCCCAGUUUCCAGAAGCAAAAAAUAUCCAGUGCUAGGACUAGCUCCUCACGCUACUCUGGGUGGUGGUGAUGGGGACUUAUCCUAUUUCGCUCGAGACUUGGUUAUUUCGGCUCUAUACACCUCCAACUCGUAUAAAAGGGGUCUUAAACCUAUUUUGGAGUAGGGGAAACAUUUUUUAGAGGAACUUUUGACCAAGGGAGAGCAGAGAGCCGCCAUGGAGCCUGGUUUCAUAUUUUCUUCCGUUAAACUUAGUAAUUUUUAUAUUUCUUUGUAUGAUUUGUUGUUUGGCUACCAUGUCUAUGUGGAGCUAAACUUCACGUUCUAGGUUUGUAGUUCUUUCGUGAUUAUUGUUAUUCGAAUAUUGAUUUUGAUUUCUUAGUUUAUCACAUUGGUUUGUUUAUCCAAUCUUGCGCUUAAUUAUUUAAUUGCUUGAUCACCAAUUGAAUACUAUAUACGAAUCUAGAGUUGAACUCGAAAAUGAAAAUUCUAGAUUGCACAUAGGAUUGAGUAGAGCAAGUUCUUGACCCUGGGCAUCGGGAAAUGGAUUCGCGGUUAGGAUAGACAUAUAUCUAAUUAUCUUGCUUGGUUGAUGUACAGGAAUUAUGAAUGUGUUCUUGUUAGUUCUAAUUCCAUAGGCAUAUAGGCAUUAGGUUAGCUUGAAUAGGCGAGUAAGAACUCGACAGAUUCUUACGAGAAAUAUUAACCAUGUCAACAAUUGAACUAGAUGAAUUAGUUAGUCAAUUUAAUUGAAGAAUACAAUAGGAAUGUUAGAUAGCCCAUAACCCUAGAUCGUUUUUAUCGUAUUGAUAACAUAAAAAUCUGUUCUUCUUUUGUUCAACGUUCACUAUUUGUUUUUCUUUCUUUUAAUUAGUUUAGAAUCAAAUACUUCUAGUUUUAAUUCUUGUUUAAAUAGUUAGAAUAGUCUAAUUUAGUUAAUAGUUAAUCAUAAGUCCUCUUGAGUUCGACAUCCAACUUCUAGUAACUUUAUUACUUGACGACCGUGUAUACUUGCGUGUGCGUUUGGCCGCAACAAUCACUAAAUAGAAUUAUAAUCAAGACUACAAACAAACGACAGGGAAACAGAAAAAUCAAAAACUGGGAGGAAAGGAUUAGGAUUUGAGUUUAUACCAAGCUUCGGGAUAUUCGACAUUGAAUCGAGCAACGAGAUGAUGCCGUAGAUGUCAAGUGGUGGUUGUCCGACCCCGAAACGCAAGUUUUCUUUUAGGGGAUGCCAAAACAGAUAAGUUUUGGCAUCAUACUAGAAGGAAACAUGGGUCUUUGAGUCAAGUAGUCUAGAGAAAGGGGGGUCAGUGGGCCUAGUGGUGGUUGCCGGCAGUGGGAGUGAACGGCAGCUUCGCCGGAAAAUGAUUGUCGGAUUUUCGUCUUGAGUCCAAUGCUAAACAACAGUCCUCGUUGAGCCAUGUCCAUGUAUAUAGGUAUUGUAGGGUGGUAGUGGCCAGAUCUUCACGAAUUUAGACAAAAAAAAGUGGCGGUUAGGGUUUCCUAGAUCUAAAAAUAGUGGAAUACAAGCAGGUUUUGAGGGAUUUGGGUUAGAGAUUUGGAAAGAGGAGGUUGAGGGGAUUGUAUGGUGAGAAUAUGGGAUGGUUUGUACCACCACCGGCGGCGGCUCAUGGUGGUGGCAGUGGAGGAGCGGCGGCAGCUAUGGGAGAAUGAGAAAAAAGAGAGGGAGCUAGGGUUUGGAUAGUGAAUGGGGCAAAAAUCAGAUUUUCCAAAUGUUUUAUUUGGAAUGGGUUAACAAAUAAGGUCCGUUGGAUUGAGCAAAAUGAAUGGUUGUGAUUUCAUCUCGAUUCAUAACCAAAACGAUGUAGUUUAAACCAAAACUAUGUCGUUUUAGCCCCUCACCUAACAGCCUCCAUGUGGACCAGAUCACUGGCUCUUUGGGCUUUUGAUUUUGGGCCAAUUUAGGCUCAAUUUCAAUUGAAAUGCACUAGCUCAAUCCUUUAAGCCCCUAAUUAUAUUAUAAUCUUAUUUAGUCCUAAAGAAAACGUACAAUUAGAAAGAAAAUCUUUUUGAUAUAUAUAAUUUAAAGAUGUAGACUAAAAUAUACAAAUAAAAGGUAAAAAAAUAUUUUUGCUACUAUUUAAUGAAGGAAUAAAUGCGCAGAUAAGUUCAAAGAAACACAACUAAAAUGGUUGAAUCCAUCCAAAAGUUAGUUUUGUUUUUUGUCAGAAUUAAAAGGGUACAAAAAUCAGGUAUACACAAGUGUAACUUUAACCGUUUUAUUGUGCUUUUUUUUUUAAUUUUUAAUCUCUGUGUUGCAUCUUUGUCGAAGGCUUAUAAAACUGAAUCUAUUUUGUAUCAGCCUUAAUUUACAAUCGUAACUUACCGAUAAAAUUAAUAAUAAUACCACAAUAACAAAAAGUAUAAGAAGGAAUCUCCUACAGCAAAGCCAACAAAGAAAUUAAGGGAAGAAAAUAGAGAUAGGUGAAAAUAAAGAGAAGAGAUGCAGAAUAAAGAAAUAAAGAAAAUAAAAUAAAAACUGAAGAUAGGAAAAGUAAGUUGAAGUUCUCUUCCUUUCAACAAAAAGGAUGUAGGAAACGGCUGUAAUUUGGAAAUUAUGGUAGCAAUAACGUUGCAACAGUUACUUUUCCUACAUCAUAACUCCUGGAGCGGUUGUAUUAAUAUACAUUACUAAAUGAAUGAUUCCAUGAGUUAAGUUUGGAAAACAAGAAAUGGCAGAAUGCAGUUGAGAGGUAUUGUAAAAGUGACUUGGAAAAUUAAAUCACAAUUAAGAGGACUCUUAAAAGUCUGUUCGGUACAAGAAGCUGUAACGGUUCCAUCAGCUGAAAGAUAGGCAUUUCCAUUAUUCUCGAACCGUUGCAUUCUUUAACUUAGAAGCAUAAAAAUAAUAUGACAUGAAAAAGUAGAGUGAAAGGCAAAAAAAAAUGACAAAAAAGAUAAAUGUCUUUCCAAACCUAAAAGAGGUGUCAUGUAAGCAUUUUUUUCUCCUCUUUUAUAUAUAUAUAUAAAUAAAAUAUCGUGGCAACUUUAGGGAUCCGCUGUGUAUUUGGCCUUAAUUUAAUCCUUUUGUAAAUAGAUGGGCUAAUAUGUUCAAAAAUUAAUAAUUAAAAAUAAAAGAGUAAAUACAAGCAUAAUUUAUUUUUUAUGUUUUUCACCUUAUGGUAAAUUGUAAAAUUUCUUUUACAAUGUCCAUGGCGGAUGAGGGGAUUAGAUUGAAUUCGAAUCUAUCAGAGAGUUGAUUUAAAAAGUAACAGAUCUUAAGUCAAAAUAUAGGUAUCUCCUUGAAGAAACAGAAUAUAAUCAUCUCUUGUUAUUUUUGGUUAUAUAGUUGCGCUUUGAACUUUCUUUGAACCCUUUUGGGUUUGCUUUACAAUUGGUUUAGUUACGUAAAUCCUAUUGCGUUGAUUGGAUGCUGAGAGUUCUAGCCCGAAAGUAUAAACUUGCUUUCCAAAUAGUCCAAUACAUUUGGAGAUCUAAAAGCGAAAGGGCGAUAGUGAGAAUUGAAUCCAAACUUAUUGUGUUCGUUUUGUUGGCUGUGUAUGGUUUAACUUUUUGCUCAGUAAUUCUUCACUUCUUUUCUUGGUUGAGUAUUUUGAACGGAUAGCAUAACUGUGGAACAUAACCAAUGGAGAUAGCUUCUUUACACGAUUUUCUGGUUCUUUAAUUAGCUUUUUCAACCAUGUUCAUACUACUCCUAGAAUUCUAACAUGUUCAAAAUUGAUUUAGAGCCCGUCUCUGACAUAAGAAAAAUUUUCUUUUUUUCCAAUCUCACUUGAAAUGCAUUGUUAGGUUGCUAUUUUUUAGUUUUACAAAUUUACCCAAUAUUUUUAAAAUUUAUAAAAAGACCCCAUCAGUUAUUAACCUAGGUAACCAUCAACUACCCACUUUCCUUUCCAUAAAGUCAGAAACACAAAACACAAACGGCAGGUCUUCUUCUCACCAAAGUGUGUGGCUGUCUUUCCCACUAGUCUUAGUUGAUUCUUGAACUCUGCCUACUGGAAGUUUGAUUACAUGGUUAUGAGAAAUAUGUGGCUACGCCUGGUUUUGCACCUUCUCUAUGUGUCAGUAGAAUUAGGACAUGUGAUAUUGAUUUUGCAUCUUCUGUGUGUUGCAGUAAACAGAAUAUGAUAACAGUUAAACAAAUAGCAUGUUUGGAGCACUUCUUUUCUCCAAAAACGUGACGGCCCUGCAACAAUUGCAAAACGAGAUUGCAAAACUCCGAAUGCACGUUCAACAUCUUUUCGCCAUGAUUCUUGUUUCAUCGCGAAAUAUUUCUUCUUUUGAGAACGUGGCUCACGAAUUGUUUGCACAAUAGUAGACCAUUUUGGAUAUAUACCGUCGGCUAAAUAAUAACUCACAUCAUAUUCUUUUCCUUGAAUAACAUAAUGGGUGAGAGGAGCAAUACCUUUAGCAAGAUUAGAAAACAAAUGUGAUGAGUAGAUAUUUGUUUUUAUGAUAAUCAAUGAACAUUGUGUUAUUUAUUAACAUAUUAUAUUUCAGAUUUGCACUUUUCAUUUUUUUGAUGGUUAUAUAUUUUUAUACAAUUAUAACUUAUAAUAAAAUUAACUUACUUAUAAUUUUAUAAAAAAAUAAAAUAUACAAAAAUUAAUUUAUAAAAAUUAUACACCAAAAUUAAAAUAUAAAAUUAAUAUUAUAAAGAUAUUACAUAAAAACUAUAUGUAAUUACAAAAUUAUAAUAUGUUAAAUUAAAAGUGUUAUAUAAUAAAAGAUAAUAAUAAAAUAAUGAUGAUUAGUAAUGGUGUUGAUGAAUAGUGUUACACCAAAUUUGGUGUAAAACUAUUCACGAACCAAAAUAGUGAUAGAAAUGGUGUUGGGUUGGAGUAAAAAAAAUACAAAAUCUUACACUAAAAUGGUGUUUGUGUCAAAAUUGGUGUUGGGUUAGAGAUGGUCUUAGUUGAUUCUUGAACUCUGCCUACUGGAAGUUUGAUUACAUGGUUAUGUGAAAUAUGUGGCUACGCCUGGUUUUGCACCUUCUCUAUGUGUCAGUAGAAUUAGGACAUGUGAUAUUGAUUUUGCAUCUUCUAUGUGUUGCAGUAAACAGAAUAUGAUAACAGUUAAACAAUAGCAUGUUUGAUUGUUUGUUUCAAGUAGGAUAAUCAAAUUGUGGUGGUUUUGAUAUUUCUUAUAAAUUGUGGGGUAUAAAUUAUAUUUCAUGAUUUUGAAAAAAAAUACAUCCAAAUAUGUUGCAAAAAUUAUAAACAAACACAACUUCAUGUACGAUCCAAAUUUUAGGAAAAUUUCAAAUUUGAAUUUUUCUUUUGGAAUUCAUGUCCAAACGUUAGUGAAAUUCCAAAUUUUGCAUCUUCUAUGUGUUGCAGUAAACAGAAUAUGAUAACAGUUAAGCAAUAACAUAUUUGAUUGUUUGUUUCAAGUAAGAUAAUCAAAUUGGGAUAGUUUUGAUAUUUUUUAUAAAUUGUGGGGGUAUAAAUUAUAUUUCAUGAUUUUGAAAAAAAGACAUCCAAAUAUGUUGCAAAAAAUUAUAACCAAACACGACUUCAUCUAUGAUGCAAAUUUUAAUAAAAUUCCAAAUUUGAAUUUUUUUUUUGAAAUUCAUGUCCAAACGCCUACUUAGAGUAAUUCCUCCCAGUUUCCAAAUUGAGAAAAUAAAAGAGUAGGUGCUACAAAUUCCCCAGGUCAUGCUUUUCAAAUUGGCAAACUGAAAAAAGAGAAAGCCAUUUGAUAUUCUUUGUGGUGAAUUGAGAAAGAAAAUUGAGCAAAAAAAUUAAGGAGUCUGUCAGACAACUAUGAGACCACCCCAGGCCUACAAACAGAGCUGAGAACGAUCCUCUACGGCUCCAUGGCCACUAGGGACCAUAGGAAGCGGUUAAUCACGCUCUGGUCUCAUAGUCAUUCUUCAUCAACCAGACUUGGUUUUCUGUCUCCUUAGAACUCAAGGAUACAGUGGUACGAGCCUAUAGAACAGAUCCUGUUCAAGUAAGGUCGUGCCCAUUGUUUGGAAAACAGGACUUUAUAAAGUAUCAAUAACUGAUUACUUCUUGCGAUGUGGGAUAGAAUAGAGGAUGCUAGGGUUAGUGGGACUCAGAGAUUUACAUCCCACCAACUAUCAGUGUGUGGGCCUAGUCCAUCUAACAAUUGACAGAUCGUGAGUGCCGGGUU
rnacentral:lncRNA from 1 species